UGGGGAAUAUUGCACAAUGGGCGCAAGCCUGAUGCAGCCAUGCCGCGUGUAUGAAGAAGGCCUUCGGGUUGUAAAGUACUUUCAGUCGGGAGGAAGGUGUCAAGGUUAAUAACCUUGGCAAUUGACGUUACCGACAGAAGAAGCACCGGCUAACUCCGUGCCAGCAGCCGCGGUAAUACGGAGGGUGCAAGCGUUAAUCGGAAUUACUGGGCGUAAAGCGCACGCAGGCGGUUGAUUGAGUCAGAUGUGAAAUCCCCGGGCUUAACCCGGGAAUUGCAUCUGAUACUGGUCAGCUAGAGUCUUGUAGAGGGGGGUAGAAUUCCAGGUGUAGCGAUGAAAUGCGUAGAGAUCUGGAGGAAUACCGGUGGCGAAGGCGGCCCCCUGGACGAAGACUGACGCUCAGGUGCGAAAGCGUGGGGAGCAAACAGG
rnacentral:rRNA from 1 species